rnacentral:rRNA from 1 species
GCAGGGAGUAGCAAUACUCGCUGGCGACCGGCGCACGGGUGCGUAACACGUAUACAAUCUGCCUUUAACAGGGGGAUAGCCCGGAGAAAUCCGGAUUAAUACCCCAUAACACAAGAAGUAGCAUUACUUUUUGUUGAAAGCUCCGGCGGUUAGAGAUGAGUAUGCGUCUGAUUAGCUAGUUGGUGAGGUAACGGCUCACCAAGGCGACGAUCAGUAGGGGAUCUGAGAGGACUACCCCCCACACGGAUACUGAGACACGGAUCCGACUCCUACGGGAGGCAGCAGUAAGGAAUAUUGGACAAUGCCCGCAAGGGUGAUCCAGCCAUGCCGCGUGCAGGAAGACGGCCCUAUGGGUUGUAAACUGCUUUUACACCGGAGAAAACCCCCUUACGUGUAAGGGGCUGAUAGUAUGGUGAGAAUAAGCAUCGGCUAACUUCGUGCCAGCAGCCGCGGUAAGACGAAGGAUGCAAGCGUUAUCCGGAUUCAUUGGGUUUAAAGGGAGCGUAGGUGGCCUUAUAAGUCAGUGGUGAAAUCUCUGGGCUUAACCCAGAAAUUGCCAUUGAUACUGUAGGGCUUGAGUAUAGAUGCCGUCGGCGGAAUAUGACAUGUAGUGGUGAAAUACAUAGAGAUGUCAUAGAACACCGAUUGCGAAGGCAGCUAACGAAACUAUAACUGACACUGAGGCUCGAAAGUGUGGGGAUCAAACAGGAUUAGAUACCCUGGUAGUCCACACUGUAAACGAUGAUUACUCGCUGCUAGAGGGCAACUUUUAGUGGCUUAGCGAAAGCGAUAAGUAAUCCACCUGGGGAGUACGCCGGCAACGGUGAAACUCAAAGGAAUUGACGGGGGCCCGCACAAGCGGAGGAGCAUGUGGUUUAAUUCGAUGAUACGCGAGAACC